UCUUUGGUAGCUCAGUUGGUAGAGCAUGUGGCUGUUAACCACAUUGUCGUUGGUUCAAGCCCAUCCCAGGGAU
rnacentral:tRNA from 1 species